rnacentral:lncRNA from 1 species
CUCUCUUUGCCUGCCACCAACCAUGUAAGAUAUGAUUUGCUCCUCCUUGCCUUCCACCAUGAUUGUGAGGCCUCCCCAGCCACGUGGAACUGCCUUGGAAGCAAAGCCCCCAGGAAUGACUGGAAGACAACACUCUGCAGACCCCUUCCACAGGGUACCCCUGCUCUCCAGGAAGGGCCUUCAGGGCAGCAUUUGGAGGUGGCAUGAGCUAGCAGCGGCGUGCAGCCUGGUCACUGUCUGAUCUGGUCAGCCCAGCCGCACAGAACACCACACAGGCUCUGGCAGCUCCCUGGGAAAGAAGAAAGCAGCAUCUUGCAUGUGUGGCUUAUUCUGAAAGGAAUAGUAUCUGAGGGAUUUGAUGGACUCUGACAGGGGGAAGAAGGUAGUGAAAAAGAUGGAACAAAGAUGCCAUUUAAAAAUACUGGCUCGUGUUCAGGAUUUCGCUAUUUUUUACUGCAAGGAACAAGUAAAAAAAAAAAUCCUCCUAUUGAUGAGUAUUUUUCUACAGUCAUUAAAAGUCAAAGGACUCAGGGCUUCCGACUUUCCCUCUUGGGAAACCUGUAAGCUCGUCUUCUGGACAGCUUAGAAAAGGGCUGGAUGGCGAAGGCGAGAGGCUUAAAGGCCCCCAGCAAGCAGCUCCGCCGAGGAACGGGUGCAGGGGACACACUGUGUUUUCAGUUCAGAUUCUGUGAUCUUUCUGCCAAACAGGGGUUUACAAAGCAAAAACCUCCAGAGAAUUCUCAUACUUUCUGGCUUAUUCUCCUGGUGUUCGUCUUAACAGGAAUCAGCUGUUUGCCUUCUCACUUAUACAGCAUGUUGCUGAGGCGAAUUUAGCAUCUGGCCUGGCUAUUAUUAAAAACAAGAACAUCCUGCUCUGUUGGGAGAACAGCACCACUGGCAAUAAAAGGACAGAGAUCAUUUGCAUUCAGGAUUCCAGAGAUGUGUUUCAGUUCAAUAUCUGCGCUCCCUCCUUCCACCCCUGCUUUCAUUUUAAGAUUUCCUGAUGCAUCCAUCACUUGCAGCGUGGUCAACUUUUUUUCUGAAACAGGCACACACAGGCAGAGCAUAUUUUUUCCUUUCACUGGGAGGCAGGAAUGACUGGAGUUGUUCAAACACCGGUCCGUUCCUGCAAUUCCUAUGAUAAAGUUGAACUACCAGAGGAAUUUUUUUUUUUUUUUUUACAACUGCGGAAAUGAAAAAGUAAACAAGACUGGGACUGCAUUGGUAUUUAGGCUCCAGCUUUUUGUUGUUGUUUUUGUCUUUCCCUUUUUUUAAGCCAUUGGGCUAGGAGCCUGAAGGGACCAUAUAAUAUGAAAAACGCUGAGAGGUUUUAUUAGCCAAUAAAAAAAAAAACUGAGUUCCUAUUAACCACUUAACUCCUUGCUGAAGUUCAAACUUGCUUUCUCCUUGGAUCCUUCUCUCCCUCUCAUGCCCACGAGGAAUGACGGUUGGUUCACCAAUCUUUCCCUGCACAACCUGAGCUCACAGUUUGUGCUCCAGAAGGUGUGGUUGAGAAUCGUAUUCAAUAAUAAUCUCUGUAUUUCUCAUCUGUGAAGCCAUAAAUAAGAUUUCUGUAAGGAGCCAAAUGUUCUACGCCCCCAAAUCUACACACACAAAGACUCUUUAAGCACUCUACUAAAAAAGAGUAAAGUCAUUGUGAUUUCUAGGAUUUUAAAUACUAAAUGAUGGUUAGGGAGAACAAAAUCAGGCUGAAGCAUUUCUGGGAUAAAUAAUGAUCCCACAAAACGCUCCUCUCAUUUGGGGGCAGAAGAAUGAAGGGAAACUCACAGAGAAACAGAAAAUGAAAUUGGUCCAACUAUUUCACUGCUGGAGAUAGAUGGAGUUAGGAUACAUAGGUGACUUGGUUUAGGAAAGAGAGGAUGUCGAAGGUGAUUUAAAUCCUAACACUGUUUUAUUAAUCGUGCCACAAUUCUACAUGUCAUGUGAUUUUGUUAUCUGCUUUUUGCUGCUUUUAAAUAAAUUUGUACUUUUCUAUCAAUCCAUCAUCCAAUUGUGUUUCGGGUGUUCUUGGCAUUCCCAUCUCUCAAAAACACCCUUAGUUUCUGCCAUUAUAUACUGUAUCUCUAAUUCCACGAAGCUCACUCUAUCCUAUUUCCAUUUUCCACAUUCG